CUCCAGGGAUACAGGACCAGUCCUCUGGGAAUGUCUUUAUUCCGCCCCGGGCUGCGGGGAGACGCGGACCUUCAUUCAAUGGCAUUUGUAUUUCAAGCACAUCUGCGACCGCAGGAGAGCCGCCUGGCUGCUCUGAGCCCUGAUGAGGUGCUGCGUGUGCACAGUCUCGGCCAUGCUGGGCAUGCGGUGCCAUCGGAUGAAGCGAGGAAUGGGACUUAUGCACAAUAUACGGCGAUCGCCUGUUUCACUCUGGAAAUGGAAGCAAACUGCCAAAGUCCGGCAUCACUCCACCACGUCUAUCAUCACAUAGUGGAGUCUCAGAGCCUUGUGGUUGUUUUAAAGUGAGACCAGUUUUAGUUUUGUUCAGAUAGUGCACCUCUGAGUAAGAUCUGCUUGAUAAGGUGAAGCUAAAAGCCAGAUGGGAAGAGCCUCAGCAUAAAAUGUGAUAAAAGUGAUGUAAAUCUUUAGAAUGUAAGAUAGUAUCCAUUACCAAAAGCGUUUUGGUAAUUUUAAUCACUGUAAAGUUCUUAGGAUUGUGUGAAAGCCCACCUCUACCCCUGUGGAAAAUGUUAUUUCAUUAUUUUGACACCUUACAAUUAUAAUUAGGAGACAGCAAUGUCAAAAUACAGUUAUAGCCAGGAGACAUGUAGUAAAAUUUAAUUUGGUUUGAAAAUUUGGGGCAAAGUUAACUGUUACUCAAAAACAGUGGUGGCAAGCUUGAGUAAGUUAUAAUGUUUUGAGUAUAUUGUAACAAAUUUAUGUUCACUAUUUUCAUAUAAUGAUGUAUCUAUGCUAACUGCAUUCAGUCAUGUGGGUAACAAAAUCCAUAUAGUUAUGUGCAUCUCUAACAAGUCAUUAACACCUUGUAUAAUCACACUUAAACAAAUUUUAGUUUUUUAAGAGGGCAGGAAUGUGUAAAUAAAGUGGAUAAGUCACAGAUAGCUAGGAUCCUAGCUUGAGUACCUGUGAACUUGACUUUUUGUUUAAGUAUCUGGACUUUCAGCCUAAGCGUAUGUUUACUGUUGGCUUUUGUAGAUGUUACCUAUCGUAGCCUGAUUAGCUGUUAGCUUGAUUGAUAGCUAAGCUGUUAGUUUGUCUUGAAGCUUACAUUGUAGUAAACUAGACUGUCAACAUGAGUAGCUAUUAUCUUGAUUUUUAGAUUAAGUAGCUGUUAGCUGUAAGCAGUUAGCGUGACUUUCUGUUUGUAAUAGCAACUUGCGUCUUGGCUUGUUUAGAUUUUAGUUUGGUCCAAGCUUAAGGAGCUUUUCCCUUGACAUCCGUUUAGCAGUGAUUGGCUUCUGAGCCUUGGUAACUGUUGGCUAGAUUCUCCGCAUUUCUCAUGAAUGUCAGCUUGAGUAUCUCUUGAUUCUUAAGGCUGUUACAUACUCCUCGAGAAAUGAGAGAUUGGUUCUCACUCCCACAGCAAAAAUGGUCUCGCAGUGCUGCUCUGGGAGUUCUCAGGGCUUUUUUCUUCUCACCCUCCCCCCAUUUUGUUCCAUUGUGGAGUUGUCAAAUAUCCACAAUCUUAGCAACAUUGUGACGUACACUACAGCAGGUGGGUCUUUCUAGGACUCCGGGAGCUGAGCUUCUCGUGAAUUAGGAAUAGUCAGAGCCAAAACAAACUUUUUUCUUGUUGUUGCCACCCCGAUAACAAAAACUGAGUAUGUGACGAGCUUUCGAUUAAGCAGCUUCAACAUUCGGUCACAGCGGUUGUUUGCUCAAUUGAUAACUUUAACUGUUAGUUUGCGCUUGGAUUAGAUAGGUAAGUGCGUCCCAUUCCAGCUCAAUAUUGGAUACAUAUUUUUGACUCUAUAUAUGGGAUAUUUCGUUUUUCAAGGGACGGUUGACAACCUUAGCUAGGUAGCCAGACCCCCAGCCCAAGUACAUAAUUGAAUCUCAGCCUUAUUUUCUGUUAGCUUGAGGCUUGGGAAGCUGUUAGCCUGACUCUCAGCUUUUGCUGCUGUUCUCUUGAUUCCGAUCGAAUACUUAUUUGCUCGACUUCCAGUCUGUUAAAUUUACUCCGGUUAGAUGUUAACUUGCCUGAAGGGUUUUGCCUUAGCUUCGGUUGCAGCUAACUUGCUAUUGGCUUAAGUAGCAACUAGCUAGACUGUCAGCCAGAUCAAACGUUUAGCUUCAGUGUUAGCUUGAGUGGCUAUUCACCUGAUUCUUAGAUGCAAUGUAGAUGUAGCUUAUAGUCUGUGUUCAGUGAAAAAGCUGUUUGCUUGACCAACUGUACACUUGACUCCUCCGUUUGAGUUUCUUCCUAAAUUUCCCUGGACAGUUAGCUGCUUCAUUCAAGAAACUACUCCCUACUAUAAACCUUGAAAGAGUCCCCUUUAAAUAAUUUGCGUUAUUUUCUGUUAUUGGGAAAAAGACUUCAUUAUUCAAGAUAAAAAGUUACAAGGGAAAAAAAGGCAAACAGCAAAACAAAACUGUGGUUAACACUCAUGCCUCUGCCUUCAAGGAAUUUGAUUACCAUUAGCUCCUUAGGAAAGUGUAUUGUUUUUAUGGUAAAAUACACAUCAGUUUUUACUAAAUGUGUAUCGAACUGAAUUUAAAGAAGAAGAUAAAAUAUAUACAUCAUAAAGAUCUGCAUCACUAUCAGGAUAGAAAAAACAGGUUAGUGCCUUUGUAUCAUGCGUUACCAAAGCACUUGUAAGCUUUUGCAAAAACACAGCAUUGUACAGCAUCUUGCACAGAUUUAGUCAGAUGUGCACGUUCUGAGAAGUUACAUUUAUUUCUGAAGGCAUGUUGGUGCACAGUCCUCCAUAACGCUGUAUCUACAGUAAUACACCAACCUGAGGCAGUAUAAGCACACAGUUACAUAUAAAAAAAACAUACAAGCAGUCAAAAUGAUGCCAACGAUGAGACUGCAGGCUUUUGUACUUGCUGUACUAAGGAAGGAGGAGGGCACAUAAACUGUGAUCCAAUAUUCUCCAUCAUCACGACUUGUGUCCUACAUAAGCAACGUGUCACUUUCGAUUCAGAAAAAUUAGAUCAUGGAGAGUAAUCAGCGCACUCAGAUAGAAUUCAAAAUAACAUUCAUGCCGAAAUAAUUGAAUUAGUUGAACUCUACAGUCUCCCUCAGUGGUUCUUUAGUGAGAUGCCAUUGCAAUUAUGUGCCCGUCGUCUCAGCUCUAGGUUCCACAACGUGAGCCGCCUUUGUUCACUCGCUCAGAGAACCUGAUCCUCACUGACACGGCUCUACAUAUCAAUGUUCUGCUGGCAGUUUAAUGUGUCGUUCUCCUUUCUCAGUGAUGCCGCCCUGCAUCCAUUCAAUCUGCUUCAUGUGCCUGAAACUCGUACAUCCGUAUGGGGACACUCACAACAGUUACAUUUGUCAGUGGGAUGUAGACGCCAUUAAAGGACAGUGGUUGGCACUUAUAGUCAUACUGUACCUUCCUCCGGCCCCUGCUGUCUCAUUUCAGCAGGGACAAACACAGACAAACAGCAAACACACCCAGUGCCUCAUCACAGACUCACAGUGUGAUCGGCUGGUAAUGACAGAGAGGCUGUACCUCCAAGCGCUGAUUGCACUGGAGUACAGGAGCAAAUCUUGAUUGGCCAAGUAACGGACCUUGCUGCCAAGGCUGAAUUAUAGCUAAAAUAAAGCCACUCAAAAAAUAAAUAAAAAAAAAGAAAUCAGACUUGUACAGUACUGUGCAAAUUUUUUUUUAGACCUGAUUUAGUUAUUUGUUAGAUUCCAAGAAGCUAGACUUUCUUGUCAUUUAGUUGAGCAAUAGUUUUUAAGGUUUUACAAAAGUCUUUUAAAGUUCUUUUUUUAGAAUUUGCCUUAAGAAAUCUUGAGAAUUAUUGAUCAUAGUCCUUUAUCAACCAAAACCCCCCGGUAAUCUGAAUUUUCACAUCCUCUAGGCAUAUUUCACUACUCUCACCAACUCUUCUCAAAAGGCCUUUUCUAUUGACUUAAACAGAGCUUAAAUUAUAUUUUAUCUGGCAAGUGAUGUUCCUGCUAUUUUCAAAACAUAGGACCUCACGUGCUAUGAUAAAGAAACAUUUUGUUUUCCAGAUGCAUUUCAAUACUGCUCAGGCCUAUAGGGUCCUUUAAACUGAAUGAUCUUAUUCUGCUCAUUUAGAUGUCACUGAGCUUUUGAAAUGAACUAUAAUUAAUUAAUGUGUAGUCAUUUCACUUUUAGUUAUUAGUGUGUGAACCCCUGAAGGAAUAAGCAGCCCUAGCAGGACUAUUUUAAUCAACAGUACAGUCGUUCGUACUUCAGUGUCGCUCUAAUAUUAAAGGGUUAGGGUUAGGGUUAGGAAACUAAAAUGUGUGAAUACCUAUGCCAAAACCACAUAUUUUCCAAAGUAGUCUGACAGCAGGGCUUUUGUGGGCAGCUUCUGUGAAUAAGUUAUUGUGAAAGGGAGAGUCGUGGAUAACAAGACGAAACAGAACCACAGUACCAAGGGUUUCCAGAUCAAUUGUACACACUGGUUUUGAAAAAUAAUUGCUUUUGUUUACCAAAAAAUUUCUUUAUGGCAUUCAGUCUUUGUUUAAAGUUCCAGCAAAAGUUUGUUGCUCUCCAUGCCCACCUACGAGAGAAGACCCUGAACCAAAUUAAGCUAUUUCUUUGCGGUUUAUCUACGCCUGUUUUCUGGUGUUUUGAAAAUGCCAGACCCCACAUGCUUGUCUUCUUUGAAUCUUUCCUUUUUUGGCUUUUCCAAAACUUAACGAGACUGAUAACAUUUAAUUUAAUGUAGCCUUUGUCAAUUGCUACAACCUUGGCAUUAUUGGUCUUUAUUCACAGUAAUCAAGAAGGGUAAUGGGUUGAGAGAACAAUUAAGGUCACAAGUUUGGGAAUUACCCCACCUUCCACCCUUGCUCCCAAUUUUAAUUGAUUGCGAAAGACUCAGUUCUUGGAAACCGAUAAUGAAGAAAUUUUUGGUGCUUUAAACGUUUUGCACAGUACUGUACAUGGAUACUAAAAAGAAACAACUUAUAUUCAAAUAAGCGCUAUUC